rnacentral:lncRNA from 1 species
CACCCUUACUAGCCUCUAAGGUACAAAUGUAUGAUAUAUGCUUAGCUAAUAAGAUAUGCUUGUGUAAAAUUUUGGCUCAGAAAUAAGCUAUGGAAGAAAUAGGUGAGGUUCUAAAUAUUUGUUCUGUUGGCUUAAGUGGCAGGAGAGGCAGUAAGGAUACGGAUGGGUUGUAGCAAUAGUCCCUGUACCAAGUAAGUACUGUGGUAUCCUGAGAAGUGACCAUUAGCCUAAAUACUGCUCCUCCUACUGUUCCAGUGACUCUGAGAUUUUCUGCAUCCCUUAAUAAAUCUCUUUCUCUCUCAAGCAGCUGGAGUAGAUUCUGUUGUCUGCAACAGGGGGAGAACGUAUAUCAUGAAAGAGGACUAUUCUGUAUAAAACAUUUGUUUUGAUGAAGUGGAGAGUACACCUGAUUUUGUUCUAAAUGGACAGAUGUAUGCAGCCAUUUACAAGGGGAUGCAUCCAAAGCGUUACCUGCCCUGCUGAGAUGGACUUGAGCAUAUGAGGAAAAGUAGAUCUAUCCAACCGUUCACCCACCAACUCACCCUUCUGUGCAUCCAUCACAGACAAGAUGAAGACAUUUAUGGGUUUCAUGUGAUCCACUAAUUCCACUCCCUGUCCUCCCAUUUCAUCCUGGAUGAGUUAGUCCGCUCCCACCGUCACCCUUGCAGGUAAGAGGUCUGAGGAGGGAGGCAAAGACGCACUGGUCAUUUUCCCCAGUGCACCUGGCAGGCUGGGAGAGGAGUGUGAGGAGAGGUUUGACGUCAAAUCAUCAUCCAGGGUUUGAUCACCUUUAGAGCACCUGACUCCAAUUUCUGAGGCUGCCUUUGCACUUAGAGUGACUGCAGGGCAAAAGCAGAAAUUACGGUCAUGCUGGAGUCUUGGGAGAGCCAUUUCCAGCCUUGUUCGGUGAUGUCACACUGACGUCAGUAGCUUGAAAUCAGUCAUGGUGGGAGAAUUUACACCAAGGACACUGUCAGGCAGUAUAGAUUAGCCACUCUGCUUCUCACCCCAACCAACAACCCAAAGCUAAAUAUUUAAUUUAGCAGAAUUCUACCUGUACCACUAGGCACAUAUAGUUUCACAGGCAGGUACGGCUAAUUUUUUCUAAGGUACUGAUCAACCCAAUCUCCUUCAAACAUUUUAGAGAAUGGAAAGAUGAAGUAUUCCUAAGUUGAUUCCGUGAAGACAGCAACCGAGAGAACAAAGCCAGACAAAGGAGGGUAAGCAAGCCUAUUUCUCUCCUGAUCAUCAGUGCAAACUAUCCUACACC